rnacentral:rRNA from 1 species
CCUACGGGUGGCUGCAGUGGGGAAUAUUGGACAAUGGGGGCAACCCUGAUCCAGCCAUGCCGCGUGUGUGAAGAAGGCCCUCGGGUUGUAAAGCACUUUCAGUGAGGAAGAACGCCUGGUGGUUAAUACCCAUCAGGAAAGACAUCACUCACAGAAGAAGCACCGGCUAACUCCGUGCCAGCAGCCGCGGUAAUACGGAGGGUGCGAGCGUUAAUCGGAAUUACUGGGCGUAGAGCGCGCGUAGGUGGCUUGAUAAGCCGGUUGUGAAAGCCCCGGGCUCAACCUGGGAACGGCAUCCGGAACUGUCAAGCUAGAGUGCAGGAGAGGAAGGUAGAAUUCCCGGUGUAGCGGUGAAAUGCGUAGAGAUCGGGAGGAAUACCAGUGGCGAAGGCGGCCUUCUGGACUGACACUGACACUGAGGUGCGAAAGCGUGGGUAGCAAACAGGAUUAGUUACCCUGGUAGUC